AACUGAAGAGUAUGAUCAUGGCUCAGAUUGAACGUUGGCGGCAGGCCUCAUACAUGCAAGUCGAACGCGAAAGGCCCUUCGGGGCCGAGUAGAGUGGCGAACGGGUGAGUAACGCGUAGGAAUCUACCCGACAGUGGGGGACAACUCGGGGAAACUCGAGCUAAUACCGCAUGCGAUCUCCGGCAUUCGUGCCGGGGAUGAAAGCGGGGGAUCUCCCCGUUGUGACUUCGGUUGCGACGGAAGACCUCGCGCUGUCGGAGGAGCCUGCGUUGGAUUAGCUUGUUGGUGGGGUAAUGGCCUACCAAGGCGACGAUCCAUAGCUGGUCUGAGAGGACGAUCAGCCACACUGGGACUGAGACACGGCCCAGACGGCUACGGUCGGCAGCAGUAGGGAAUAUUGCACAAUGGGCGAAAGCCUGAUGCAGCCAUGCCGCGUGUGUGAAGAAGGCCUUAGGGUUGUAAAGCACUUUCAGUGGCGAAGAAAAAGUCGGCGCUAAUAACGCCGGCCAUUGACGUUAACCACAGAAGAAGCACCGGCCAACUCCGUGCCAGCAGCCGCGGUAAUACGGAG
rnacentral:rRNA from 1 species